rfam:Picea glauca, whole genome shotgun sequence.
UCUGGUGUCCCAGGUGUAGAGGAACCACACCAACCCAUCCCGAACUUGGUGGUUAAACUCUACUGCGGUGAUGAUACUAUAGGGGAAGCCCUGCCGGAAAAUAGCUCAGUGCCAGGA